rnacentral:rRNA from 1 species
UACGUAGGGUGCAAGCGUUGUCCGGAAUUAUUGGGCGUAAAGAGCUUGUAGGCGGUUUGUCGCGUCUGCUGUGAAAUCUCAAGGCUCAACCUUGAGCUUGCAGUGGGUACGGGCAGACUAGAGUGUGGUAGGGGAGACUGGAAUUCCUGGUGUAGCGGUGAAAUGCGCAGAUAUCAGGAGGAACACCGAUGGCGAAGGCAGGUCUCUGGGCCACUACUGACGCUGAGGUGCGAAAGCGUGGGGAGCAAACAGG